rnacentral:rRNA from 1 species
CCUACGGGCGGCAGCAGUGAGGAAUAUUGCACAAUGGGGGGAACCCUGAUGCAGCGACGCCGCGUGGGUGAAGGAGUGCUUCGGCAUGUAAAGCCCUAUCGGCAGGGAAGAAGCAAGACGGUACCUGACUAAGAAGCCCCGGCUAACUACGUGCCAGCAGCCGCGGUAAUACGUAGGGGGCGAGCGUUAUCCGGAUUCACUGGGUGUAAAGGGAGCGUAGACGGCCAUGCAAGCCAGGGGUGAAAGCCCGGGGCCCAACCCCGGGACUGCCCUUGGAACUGUGCGGCUAGAGUGCGGGAGGGGCAGGCGGAAUUCCUGGGGUAGCGGUGAAAUGCGUAGAUAUCAGGAGGAACACCGGCGGCGAAGGCGGCCUGCUGGACCGCGACUGACGUUGAGGCUCGAAAGCGUGGGGAGCGAACAGGAUUAGAUACCCUUGUAGUC